GCAUCUUUAGUAUACCCAAUACAUUUGGCUUCCAACUAAAAACCCUCGCAAGAGAAGGUGUA
rnacentral:tRNA from 1 species